UACGUAGGGGGCAAGCGUUGUCCGGAUUUAUUGGGCGUAAAGAGCGUGUAGGCGGCUGGGUAGGUCCGUUGUGAAAACUCGAGGCUCAACCUCGAGACGCCGAUGGAAACCCUCCAGCUAGAGUCCGGAAGAGGAGAGUGGAAUUCCUGGUGUAGCGGUGAAAUGCGCAGAUAUCAGGAAGAACACCCGUGGCUAAGGCGGCUCUCUAGUACGGUACUGACGCUGAGACGCGAAAGCUAGGGGAGCAAACAGG
rnacentral:rRNA from 1 species